rnacentral:lncRNA from 1 species
UUAAUUCUUUAAAUGUUACAGGUGAUUGGAAUUGAUUUAUUAUCCCAAUCUCUGUUGCCAGCUAUUGUUGAGCUAGCAGAGGACAGGCAUUGGCGAGUCCGUCUUGCAAUAAUAGAAUACAUACCUCUAUUGGCAAGUCAAUUGGGAAUAGGAUUUUUUGAUGAUAAACUUGGUGCCCUUUGUAUGCAAUGGUUACAGGACAAGGUUGGUAUACGAUAAGCUGGCUGUUAGAUACUCAUAUAUAACUGAAGAAGCACAAAACCUUCAUAGGAUUUUUUGAUGAUAAGCUUGGUGCCCUUUGUAUGCAAUGGUUACAAGACAAGGUUGGUAUACGAUAAGCUGGCUGUUAGAUCCUCAUAUAUAACUGAACUGAAGACGCACAAAACCUUGAUCUUUGGUGCAUGAGCAUCUUCGUUGAAAACUUUGGUGAUAGAACUAUCUCUGUGGUGGUUAUUUUUUUCUUUCUCAGCCAUCUCUCUUCACUUUUUUUCUCAUUUGCAAGUGGAAAACGAGUCGGGGCAUUUCCUUUUUGGAGCUUCCAUCAACUCUUCUGUGAUAAUUACCUUGGGGUUUUCUGUUAUCUAUUGAUGAAUAUGAAAAGGCAAUAGCUUUUAUCAAUCAGCUGAAGGAAGAAUAUCUCUGCCUCUGAUAUCUUGCUGAUUUUCUGAUGCAGGUUUAUUCAAUCAGAGAUGCUGCUGCUAAUAACUUAAAGCGUCUUGCAGAAGAAUUUGGUCCAGAGUGGGCAAUGCAGCAUAUCAUUCCUCAGGUUUGCUUGACGUCUGCAAAUUGGAAUUGCUAAUUCUCUUGCAUGAUAUCUUUUCAAGAAAACAAAACUAGUUUAGGUAGUCAUGAGAUAUAUCUUCUCUUCAUGAAGAUGAUGGGACCCAAGGUUCAAUAUAGUGGGACAGAAGGGUGGAAUUGAUCUCUAUUUUGAUAGUCUUGAAGUUUAUGCAUCUUUGCCCCAAAGUUCUUGUAAAAAUCUCAAAUAUGCACGCCCCCUCCCCUGACCUUGAGGCCUGGAUUUAUUAUGGUGGAUCUAGUCAAUCAUAAGCUGGUCAACUAUAUAUAUCGCUUGGUAUUGUAGUUCCAAGUAGGUUGAUUGCUAUCUUCUAUCCUUUAAAACAGUGAAGUUGCCAUAAAGUUAUUCAAACUAUCUGUAUUGCCCUUCCCAACACUCAACGCCUUCCAUGGUUGAUCUCGUUGGUCAAAUUACUUGGUCAACAGCUGAUUAUCUGUAAAGUGCAACGUAGGUGUCGUGAUAUCUCCAAUCCCAUGAAUCUUGGGAAUUUCAGGUUUUUAUACUACACAAAACAACAUAGAUAUUUCUUCUAAUCGGGUAGUCAGCAUAUCCAUAUUAGUCCUCAAGUUGCUAAUUCUUCAUUGUCUCUCUAAAUUGUGAUUAGUCUACUUUAAGCUUUGAUAUCCUUCAGCACUUUAUUGGCAUGAAGAUUUCAUCCACUCCCAAUUAUGAACACCCUACUCCGGCCCUUGAAAAGAUGGAAAAAAGAGGGGAGAAACAAUACCUAGUUUCUUAAGGGCUUAAAUACUAGAUACUGCACACUGG